rnacentral:rRNA from 1 species
AACGCUGGCGGCAGCCUAACACAUGCAAGUCGAGCGCCCCGCAAGGGGAGCGGCAGACGGGAGAGUAACACGUGGGAACAUGCCCUUCAGUACGGAACAACCAAGGGAAACUUUGGCUAAUACCGUAUACGUCCGUAAGGAGAAAGAUUUAUCGCUGAAGGAUUGGCCCGCGUCUGAUUAGCUAGUUGGUGGGGUAAUGGCCCACCAAGGCGACGAUCAGUAGCUGGUCUGAGAGGAUGAUCAGCCUCACCGGGACUGAGACACGGCCCAGACUCCUACGGGAGACAGCAGUGGGGAAUAUUGGACAAUGGGCGCAAGCCUGAUCCAGCCAUGCCGCGUGGAUGAUGAAGGCCCUAGGGUUGUAAAGUCCUUUCGGCGGGGAAGAUAAUGACGGUACCCGCAGAAGAAGCCCCGGCUAACUUCGUGCCAGCAGCCGCGGUAAUACGAAGGGGGCUAGCGUUGCUCGGAAUCACUGGGCGUAAAGCGCACGUAGGCGGACUCUUAAGUCGGUGGUGAAAUCCUGGAGCUCAACUCCAGAACUGCCUUCGAUACUGAGAGUCUCGAGUCCGGGAGAGGUGAGUGGAACUGCGAGUGU